ensembl:processed_transcript 5530601H04Rik uncharacterized LOC110287359
CGGUACAGUACGGCCUGAGCAUUUUGUUCCAGCACCGGUGUGAGGAAAACAUCUGAGCCCAUGAAUUGCCAGAUCCUGGAUACCAGAGACACAUCGUCUUGCUUCUCAGGUUUGGAGUACAUAAUGAGGAGAAAUAAAAACAAAAAGAUCUCCAGAAAGAAGCCAUGAGUUCAGGAUCAAGCUCAGAAGCUCACAGCUGCCAGCAAGCACUCUACUACUGAACUGCACCAUCUCUCCAGCCCAUGCUUACUCUUGACUAGCCCCAAAGUAGUCAAUGGUGUGGGCCCUGAAAGGAACUGUAUACCUGCUCU